AGUGAACGCUGGCGGUAGGCCUAACACAUGCAAGUCGAACGGCAGCACAGUAAGAGCUUGCUCUUACGGGUGGCGAGUGGCGGACGGGUGAGGAAUACAUCGGAAUCUACUUUUUCGUGGGGGAUAACGUAGGGAAACUUACGCUAAUACCGCAUCCGACCUACGGGUGAAAGCAGGGGAUCUUCGGACCUUGCGCGAUUGAAUGAGCCGAUGUCGGAUUAGCUAGUUGGCGGGGUAAAGGCCAACCAAGGCGACGAUCCGUAGCUGGUCUGAGAGGAUGGUCAGCCACACUGGAACUGAGACACGGUCCAGACUCCUACGGGAGGCAGCAGUCGGGAAUAUUGGACAAUGGGCGCAAGCCUGAUCCAGCCAUACCGCGUGGGUGAAGAAGGCCUUCGGGUUGUAAAGCCCUUUUGUUGGGAAAGAAAAGCAGCAGGUUAAUACCCCGCUGUUCUGACGGUACCCAAAGAAUAAGCACCGGCUAACUUCGUG
rnacentral:rRNA from 1 species